CACCGCGGUUAUACGAGUUGGCUCAAGUUGAUAGACGCGGCGUAAAGCGUGGUUAGGGGAAUAACAACUAAAGUCGAAUUGCCUCCUAGCAGUUAUACGCUCACGAGGGCUUAGAAGCACAACCACGAAAGUAGCUUUAACAAACCUGACUCCACGAAAGCUAAGGCA
rnacentral:rRNA from 1 species